CUCCAUGGAUCGUGCUUGGUUAGCCUGUAUGCAUCUGAAGGCUGCCCGGUGCAAUCGACAAGCCCAUUCAGCGUGCAAGUCUUUUUCGGCUUUCUUCAGUUCCCUGAAGCGCCUCCGAUAUGCCUCGGGUGUGAUGGCAUACCGGGCCAGGAUAACCUCUUUUACCCAGCUAUAGUCCUGGAUCUCUGCGUCUCGUACAGUGCGGUAAGCUUCGGUGGCUCUCC